rfam:Salmo salar isolate Sally breed double haploid chromosome ssa10, whole genome shotgun sequence.
AGCUCAGUUGGUAGAGCAUGGCGAUUGCAAUGCCAGGGUUGUGGGUUCAAUUCUCAU